rnacentral:rRNA from 1 species
UGGCUCAGGACGAACGCUGGCGGCGUGCUUAACACAUGCAAGUCGAGCGAUGAAGCUCUUCGGAAGUGGAUUAGCGGCGGACGGGUGAGUAACACGUGGGUAACCUGCCUCAUAGAGGGGAAUAGCCUUCCGAAAGGAAGAUUAAUACCGCAUAAGAUUGUAAUAUUGCAUGAUAUAGCAAUUAAAGGAGUAAUCCGCUAUGAGAUGGACCCGCGUCGCAUUAGCUAGUUGGUGAGGUAGCGGCUCACCAAGGCGACGAUGCGUAGCCGACCUGAGAGGGUGAUCGGCCACAUUGGGACUGAGACACGGCCCAGACUCCUACGGGAGGCAGCAGUGGGGAAUAUUGCACAAUGGGGGAAACCCUGAUGCAGACCAACGCCGCGUGAGUGAUGACGGUCUUCGGAUUGUAAAGCUCUGUCUUCAGGGACGAUAAUGACGGUACCUGAGGAGGAAGCCACGGCUAACUACGUGCCAGCAGCGGC